rnacentral:tRNA from 1 species
GCCACUGUAGCUCAGCAGGUAGAGCGACCGGCUCAUAACCGGUGGGUCGCGGGUUCGAUUCGCCGCCAGUGGCCCCA